rnacentral:piRNA from 1 species
UAGAAAUGCGCCUCCUUCAUCUGGGA